rnacentral:rRNA from 1 species
UACGGAGGGAGCUAGCGUUGUUCGGAAUUACUGGGCGUAAAGCGCACGUAGGCGGCUUUUUAAGUCAGGGGUGAAAUCCCGGGGCUCAACCCCGGAACUGCCCUUGAAACUGGAAAGCUAGAAUCUUGGAGAGGCGAGUGGAAUUCCGAGUGUAGAGGUGAAAUUCGUAGAUAUUCGGAAGAGCACCAGUGGCGAAGGCGACUCGCUGGACAAGUAUUGACGCUGAGGUGCGAAAGCGUGGGGAGCAAACAGG